rnacentral:rRNA from 1 species
AUACGUAGGUGACAAGCGUUAUCCGGAUUUACUGGGCGUAAAGGGCGUGUAGGCGGUCUUGCAAGUCAGAAGUGAAAUUCCUGAGCUCAACUCGGGCGCUGCUUCUGAAACUGCAGGACUUGAGUGCUGGAGGGGAUAGCGGAAUUCCUAGUGGAGCGGUAAAAUGCGCAGAUAUUAGGAAGAACACCGGUGGCGAAGACGGAUACCUGGACAGUAACUGGCGCUGAGGAGCGAAAGCGUGGGGAGCAAAAAGGAUUAGAUCCCCUGGUAGCCCACGCCGUAAACGAUGAAUACUAGGUGUAGGGGGUAUCGACUCCCUCUGUGCCGCAGUUAACACAAUAAGUAUUCCGCCUGGGGAGUACGGCCGCAAGGUUGAAACUCAAAUGAAUUGACGGGG